rnacentral:rRNA from 1 species
GACGAACGCUGGCGGCGUGCUUAACACAUGCAAGUCGAACGAGAAUCUGUGGAUUGAGGAUUCGUCCAAAUGAAGCAGAGGAAAGUGGCGGACGGGUGAGUAACGCGUGAGGAACCUGCCUUUCAGAGGGGGACAACAGUUGGAAACGACUGCUAAUACCGCAUAACACAUAAGGGCCGCAUGGUCUUUAUGUCAAAGAUUUAUCGCUGAAAGAUGGCCUCGCGUCUGAUUAGCUGGUUGGUGGGGUAACGGCCCACCAAAGGCGACGAUCAGUAGCCGGACUGAGAGGUUGACCGGCCACAUUGGGACUGAGAUACGGCCCAG